rnacentral:rRNA from 1 species
UAAAACCCCCUAAUUUUUUCAAGGUGACCUCGAUCCAGAGGACCA